rnacentral:lncRNA from 1 species
CUGAUCAUUUUUUUUUGGUAAAAGGUGAAAGAUUUAUGCAAUCUGAAGAGAAAUCACUGUGUAUCCUCUGAUCAUUUCUUGACAAGCAUUUAACAUUAAAAAAAAGGAAAAAAAAUUUCUUCCUUUCAUUAUUCUACAUUAUUUUUCUAUCCUUUUGUUUGUUAUUUUCAGGAAAUUUCCUUUAUUUAGACUUUUCCACAAGGUAAUGCUACUUUUUGUUUCCUUGAAGGCUUAGGUUGCCCUGGUUAUGGGGGUAGAUUUGGCAGAGAGGGAGGGAUAGUGGUAGAUAGAAGGUGUCUUGAUUUAGAAUCUUGAACCCUAGAGACUAUAUUUCCCACAAUCCCCUUUUCCUUUUCCUGUUUGUGUGCCUCCUUAGGUGGAGGCAGUUUUGAGUUUCUGUUGCCCCCCACAGGGCUCUCUCUCUGGCUAGAAUCCAAACAAACACUGAAAAGGAAUGCAGUAGAGAGAGAGUCAUGAGAGCAAUCUGAUUGGAAGUCUGAUUUGGGUAAGUGUUAAAAUCUCUUAGAUCCUAAUGUUUGAGUAGGAAGAAUAUAGGAUUUAUCCACUUCU